UGUGCACCACCACCAUGCAUAUCAUCAUCUUCGUCAUAUGCCUCUUGGGCAGCUUGCUGCUUCCUUCGCAUCUCAUCCUCAAUGUUCACAUCAUGCAAAGUAGUCUCCUCGCACUCGUCUAAUUCCAUGUCAGACACUUGCUGUUUGGGUUUGGGAGGAAGCACGGCCUCAAGGUUCUUGCACUGCUCUGGUGUUAAUGACUCUGGGAAAUCAACAGUGAAGUGAAUUGACAGUUUACCUCUCAUAAAAGGCCUUGGGUACAUCGUCAUUCC
rnacentral:lncRNA from 1 species